rnacentral:lncRNA from 1 species
AGAAUCCCUGCAACUUUGAGCAAGUUCGUGAAUCUCACUAAGGCUCAGUUUCCUCCAUAAAAUUAAUCAAUAUCAGGGCCUCUGCAUUGGACAACUCCAGAGGGCACCAUUGGGGUUAUACCUUGUGUUUGCCUAACCUUCAUUGCAGUGGGCAGGUGCAUGCUUUCUACAAUGUCCUAAGGUCUAAAGGGGUAGAGUUCUGUGUGUGGCAUUUUAGGCCUGGAAAGGAUGAGAGUCUACAAAACCAGAGAAAUACUGCAGCAAAUGGUCAAACCCAGGAGGGAAUGGUAUGAACCUCUGGUUUACAGCCAUUGGUAAGAAGCACACAUGACAACCUGGACUUUCCAUCAACAUUUGAAGCGGGAGCAGUCUUGUGGGAUCAAGCUCUUAACCUGUGGGGUCUGCUACUAACUCUGAAUCCAAUGAACACAUGGACCCAACACUCCUUUGGCCAAGUUGAUGAUUCUCCACCAUUUAUUUGCCUGCCUCACUAUACACUUCUAGCAAGCCACUGCAAGGCUGCAUUGCAGCUAAGAGGAAGCCCUCCUUGAAGGCUGCACAGCAAGGAGUGUUGGCAGAGUAGCUGGGUUUCCACUGGGAGAGCACGAGUCAGCAUCAUGCUGGGCUCAAGCAUGGAUAUGCACUGCUGCUGCCAGAGCAUCAUAAUUUGCAAGCAUUUAUCGAGUACCCUUCAUCUAAUUUUCAUCCUGCGGAAACUAGAAAUUGCUACACUUGCACACAAUAAACUUCUGGCAGUUAGCCUUCUAAACUGGGACACUACCAUUUGGGAGGGAAAAGACCUUUCUGGUGGUUAAAGAUGGGGCUUCCAGUUACUGCAUUUGUUUUAAUACAGUCUAUUCCAUAGAGCCAUCGAUGGAGACUCAUUAUAUAACCUUUCGUGGAAAGCUUCUGACUUCUUUCUCAAUGCACAGUGCUUCACGUGACUUUUGAGUUAUAGCUGACUGCCCUAGCUCACAUUUUAGUGCCAGAAGAUCCCAGACCACCACCCAUGAUCCCAGGCUGGAGGAAGCAGCAGGCUAGCGGAAUUCAGGACCAAUGAGCCAGGAAAGAGGACCCAAUGCAGAGCUCACAUCCCACCCUCCUUCCCCCAUGACAAAGCACUGGCAAACCCUGCCAAAGAAGAAGCUUGGCUGCAAAGCAGUCUGGAACUGGACCCGGGAUAGAUUCACCAGGAGCUCACCACCACAGGGAAUGCUGCACUUUGACUGGACAGAAUGCAUCCUCCAUGCCCACAGAGCAUGUGCCCAGGAUGAAUCUCACUGUAUCCCAGUUCCUCAUGCUUGGCCCCAAACCUCUUUUUCACAGUAAUAAAGAAAACACACUUUACAAAAA